UACGGGGGGGGCAAGCGUUGUUCGGAAUUACUGGGCGUAAAGGGCUCGUAGGUGGCCAACUAAGUCAGACGUGAAAUCCCUCGGCUUAACCGGGGAACUGCGUCUGAUACUGGAUGGCUUGAGUUUGGGAGGGGGACGCGGAAUUCCAGGUGUAGCGGUGAAAUGCGCAGAUAUCAGGAAGAACACCAAUGGCGAAAGCAGCUCUCUGGGACGGUACUGACGCUGAGACGCGAAAGCGUGGGGAGCGAACAGG
rnacentral:rRNA from 1 species